rnacentral:lncRNA from 1 species
GCGCUUAAUAAACACCAACAUUAUCAUCAUCACCUCCCCCAGCGCUUCGAUCGGUGCUCGGCACCUAGAAAGCGCUUAACAAACACCCCCAUCAUCAUCAUCUCCCCUAACGUUCAGAAGCGUGCUCGGCCGCUCGCAAGCGCUGGACAAAGCGGCCCCCGUUAUCACCAUCACCUCCCCCCGCGCCUCGAAAGGGCGGGAGAAAGGGCACCGUGCCCAUGGCGACCGUUUCCACGGAAACGAGGGGCGGGGCGGGGCUCCUCCCCGGGCUGCCUCAGUUUCCCGCCGCCCGUGGGGCCCCGCGCGGGGCCGGCCCUCCCUCCCUCCCUCCCCCCCCUCCACGAAGCGCUGUGCGCCUACCGCUCGUCGUCGUCGUCGUCGUCGUCGUCGUCGUCGUCCUCCCUCCCUCCUCCCUCCGCCUCAGGCUCCCGCCCGCUCCCGGCCUGCCCCGCGCGCCCACGUGCCGCGCCCCUUCCGCCCGGCGCGCGGCGCGCGCAGCCGGCCGGGGGCCUUCCGGGUCGGGGCGGCCGCGGCGGCCGCUGGGUAACCGCCUCCUCCCCCCCCCCUCCCCGCCCGCCCCCGGGGCGCGCGCGCGCGCGCGCGCGGCCUCCCUCCCCCUCCUCCCCCGCCCCCGCGCCCCCGGCCCUCCACCAAUCAGCGGGCCGGCAGGGAGGGACAUGCGCAGUGGGCGCCUCCCCUCUCCUCCAGCCCAGCCCCCCCCCCACCUCCUCCUCCUGUCUCUCUCUCCUGUCUCUCCCUCCUGUCUCUCCUGUCUCUCCUGUCUCUCCCCCCUCCCCUCCCUUUCCCCCCCCCACCCCCCCACCCCCCCUUGCAGCAGCAGCAGCAGAGGAGGAGGAUGAGGAGGAGGAGGGGAGAGAGGCAGGCUGGGGGGGGCCUCCUUUGAUUGCUCUUUUUUUUUCCCAAGGACCAGCCCCCCCCCCCCACCCAGUUGGAGCCCCCCCCCCCCACUUCCACCUUGAAUUGGGGGGGGGGGGUGAGGGUGGGGAGGAUGCAGGGCAGGACAGGCCCACUUGCCACCCUCCACCCCUGAGCCCUGGGGGGGUGGGGGGGAGGGAAGAGAGAGAGCCAAGGAAGAAGAGGAGCAGUUCUUUUUCUUCUUCUGCCCCCCCCAUCCUCUUCCUCCUCCCUGCAGCCCCCCAGGAUUGGAAGGGGGAGCCCCAAAGCCUCCUAGCAACCCAGCCUGGGCUGCUGCUUGGUCCUGGCUGGAGACACUCACAGACUCACACACACACACACACACACACACACACACACACAUCUCUACUGGGAGACCCAGGAAAAGCCACUCCUCCCCACCCCCUUCCCUCUCCCCCCCCCUUUAUUACCCUUUGUGUCAUCCUCCACAGCUCCAGGGAUGAGGGACUCUGGAAGUGGGGAGCAGGAAAGAAUUUCCUUCCAAUUGAGUAAGUGCUUUCAUUUCACAGAUGCUCCCGAGUAUGUUGCUGAACUCCGAGUUUUAGAUGCUCAUCGAGACUUAUCCUUUCCUGGAUUGGUGAACUAGUUGCCGAGGAAUCCGUCGUUCCCGGGCCAGAGCUCUGAAAGUCGCUACUGAGGCAGCCCAGGUAGGUGACGAGUCCGGCCACACGGACGGAUUCGGGAAAUAACCGGGGCCCGCCGGACAUUCCCGUCGCCCGCCACGCCUGCCGUUCGUCCCCUUACCCCCGUCAACUUCCGUCAGGCACAGACUCUCUCUCCUCCACUCUGCCUUCCUUCCCCGAAACGUCACGUUCGGUCUGUUGCCGGCGAUCCUGGCUACGGCAGUCCGGACGGCGAAAAUGGAGGUAGGCCGAACGGGCGGAAAAAAACGUAUCCCGGCGAAAUGAAGGGAUUUCCGACGAUCUGGCCGCACACGACUCAGUCGUCAGUGAGAAAUCGACGAGGUGAAAAUGGUCCGCUGGGGAAAUUAAUGGAGAGAAAAUAGGCGAGUCCCCCCCCAGAAUGUAUUACCUCCGGAAUAAAUUUCUCACCCCAACGCGCGUUGCAUUUUGCAACCACCCGACCUCUCUCAACCCUUCAGCCGCCUGUCUGAUCACAGACUCCCACAGAAGAACGCACCCACUUCUCUAGGUCUCCCACAGUGAGUUUGCCUGCCGUAGCCUUAUCGAUUAAUCGGUGGUAAAUGUAUGAGCACUUAUUUCCUCCGCAAUCCGCCAUUCCAGCGGAAGGGCGAGGACCGCACCUCACUUUACCCCAGACCCCCCACGUGAAUACUAGAUUACUUGGUCGUUAC